ACUGAAGUGAUGAGGAGGAAGACAACACACAGAGUGUUUGAUGGCACUAGUGAGAAACCUGAAUUUGCUGUUGGAAUGGCAUUCACUGACAGUAGGGAAUUCAAGCAGGCUUUGGUUAAAUAUGGGCUAGUUAAUUUCCACCACCUAAGAUUCCCUAAAGAUGAGAAGAAGAGGGUCAGUGCACAGUGCUCUUGGCUUGGAUGUCCUUGGAGCAUCUAUGGAUCAAUUAGCAGCAGGUCUGAUUGGCUACAAGUUGUGAGGUACAACAAUGAGCACACAUGCAUUCCUAGGAGGGACAACAAGCUGGUUACUAGCACAGUUAUUGCAAAAAAAUAUUUCAGGCAGAUUAGGGACAAUCCUACUUGGAGGGUGGAGAAAAUGCAAGAGGCAGUACUUGAGGAUUUGCUAGCUGAUGUGAAUCUCUCAAAGUGCAAAAGGGCUAAAAAGCUUGUCAUGGCAAAGCUCACUGAUAUGACCAAUGGUGAGUACUCUAGAGUGUUUGACUACCACCUAGAAUUAGUUAGAAGCAAUCCAGGGAGCACUGUAGCUGUUUGUUUAGAUCCAGACAUUCAUGACAAGCCAGUCUUUCAGAGAAUGUAUGUGUGCCUUGAGGGUUGCAAAAAAGGGUUUCUAGCUGGAUGCAGAAGAGUGGUGGGAUUAGAUGGCUGCUUUCUGAAAGGGGCAGUAACAGGGCAAAUUUUGUCUGCUAUUGGCAGAGAUGCUAAUAAUCAGAUGUACCCACUUGCUUGGGCCACAGUUGAGGUUGAAAGCUAUGAGUCAUGGUAUUGGUUUCUCUCACUUCUCCAAAAGGACCUGCAGAUAAGCAAUCAUGGUGAUGGAUGGGUUUUCUUAUCUGAUCAACAGAAGGGUCUUAUCAGGUCUGUUAAUGAAAUUAUUCCUGAAGCGGAGCACAGAAUGUGUGCCAGACAUAUAUAUGCAAAUUGGAGGAAGCAACAUAGGGAGAAGAAAUUGCAGAAAAUGUUUUGGGCAUGUGCCAAGUCCUCUGAUAGGAGUCAGUUCAACUACAACAAAGCCAAAUUAGCACAGAAAAGUCCAGAAGGAGCUAGAGAUAUUAUGAACACUGCACCAGAACACUGGAGUAGAGCAUACUUCAAACUGGGCUCAUGGUGUGAUUCAGUUGAGAAUAAUAUGUGUGAAUCAUUCAACAAUGCAAUUAUGAGGUCAAGGUUUUACCCUGUCAUCACAUCACAUGAGAUCAUUAGAAAGAAGGUGAUGGCACGGAUACAAGAAAACAGGGGCAAAUCAGCAACAUGGAGUGGAACCAUUUGCCCAAACAUUUUCAAGAAGUUGAAGUUGAACAUCAAGAGGUCAGCUAAUUGCCAGGUGCUUUGGAAUGGAAAAGAAGGUUUUGAAGUACAAGAAGGAGAACAUAGGAGGUACACAGUCAACUUGGAAAAGUGGCAGUGCUCUUGCAGAUACUGGGAACUAUCAGGUUUGCCUUGCAGCCAUGCCAUAAGUGCAAUCUACACUUGUGGCAAAAAGAUAGAUGAUUUCAUUGCACCAUGCUAUCUUAUCAGUGAGUACAACAAGAUAUAUGAUCAUGUUUUGCAACCAGUUGAGGGGAAAGAGAAUUGGCCAGUAUCAGAAAAUCCAAAGCCACAUCCACCUCCUCAGAGGGUAAUGCCAGGAAGAAAGAAGACAAAAAGAAGAAAAGAG
rnacentral:rRNA from 1 species